GAUGAACGCUGGCGGCGUGCCUAACACAUGCAAGUCGAACGGAGUCCAGCCUUUAAGACCUUCGGGUCAAAGAGGGGAAGACUGAGUGGCGGACGGGUGAGUAACACGUGGGCAACCUGGCUCAUAGAGGGGGAUAACAGAGAGAAAUUUCUGCUAAUACCGCAUAAGCACACACUGCCUCAUGGCAGAGGGUGAAAAGAGAAUCGCUAUGAGAUGGACCCGCGUCUGAUUAGCCAGUUGGCAGGGUAAGAGCCUACCAAAGCGACGAUCAGUAGCCGAUCUGAGAGGAUGAACGGCCACAUUGGGACUGAGACACGGCCCAAACUCCUACGGGAGGCAGCAGUGGGGGAUAUUGCACAAUGGGGGGAACCCUGAUGCAGCGACGCCGCGUGAGUGAAGAAGUAUUUCGGUAUGUAAAGCUCUAUCAGCAGGGAAGAUAAUGACAGUACCUGAAUAAGAAGCCCCGGCUAACUACGUG
rnacentral:rRNA from 1 species